UCAGGUGUUAGAUAACAAUCUUUUUUCCACCCCACCUUCACAUGUUAAUGACUUCUAAGCUGGCAUGGCUGUCAUCCCUCUGUAAGCGCUAAGGUGGCCACAAAACACUCCAUUGUAACAGGAUGUGUUUCAACUGUUAAAUGAACAUAAUAGUCAGCAUAGGCAGUAGUGAAUAUCAAUGUGUAAUGUUGACUACCUUUUGUGAGUCUACAUAGAAAAGUAUUUCCUUAUUUAGGAUAAAUGCUUAAUGAAUUCACUUACUGCAAGAUGUUGUAUAAUUACUUUAACUGAUUGGAGCCUGAGCCCCCCUAAAGCUUACGUCCCAGAAUGGCUCCUGCAGUUACUAUGUAGAUUAAAGCAGUGGUCUCCAACCCCCGCGCCGCGGCCCAGUACUAGGCCGUGAGUCACUUGGUACCGGGCCGUGGGUCAUUUGGUACCGGGCCGCACAGAAAGAAAAAACUAUUUCCAUUAUUUCUUUUUUUUGGAUGUUUUAUUUUGAAAAGUGGCCGGAUUCUCUCUGUUACAUCCGUCUCACUUGACGCAUGUCCAUUCUGCGUGUGCUAACUUUAUCUCUUGCCUCACAGAUACACUACUAUAUUUUUAGCAUUUUUCUUUCACCUCAUAUUUGGUGUCAAAUGCUGAUACUAUGUGGGAAUGCAUAAAGAAGGUCAUCAAUUCGCAGGCUGAUGCUGAAGCAGCACGUUGGCGUUGGAGUGAGCAGAAAGAUGCUGUACCACUGACAGUAAGACUUUAAUACCUGUUCUAAUGUUGACUUAAUACUUGAAUUGGCCAAUGAUGGAAUAUUAUACAAAUAUUAUUUUGUUCUAUGCAUGAUUAAUGUAAUAUUAAUGUGUUUGACUAA